CCCUGCAUUCGGAAGUGAUCAUGGGCUCCCCAUUUCUUGGUCAUUGGUAGUGCAGUCAGAGGAAAUAUGGAAAGAGUUGCCCUGUGUUUGGAGGAUCCACCUCCUUGCCUUCCAGUUCCAGGAGCUUUUCCCAUA